rnacentral:rRNA from 1 species
AACGAACGCUGGCGGCAGGCUUAACACAUGCAAGUCGAGCGCAUCCUUCGGGGUGAGCGGCAGACGGGUGAGUAACGCGUGGGAAUCUACCUUUUGCUACGGAAUAGCUCCGGGAAACUGGAAUUAAUACCGUAUGUGCCCUUAGGGGGAAAGAUUUAUCGGCAAGAGAUGAGCCCGCGUUGGAUUAGCUAGUUGGUGGGGUAAAGGCCUACCAAGGCGACGAUCCAUAGCUGGUCUGAGAGGAUGAUCAGCCACAUUGGGACUGAGACACGGCCCAAACUCCUACGGGAGGCAGCAGUGGGGAAUAUUGGACAAUGGGCGCAAGCCUUAUCCAGCCAUGCCGCGUGAGUGAUGAAGGCCUUAGGGUUGUAAAGCUCUUUCACCGGAGAAGAUAAUGACGGUAUCCGGAGAAGAAGCCCCGGCUAACUUCGUGCCAGCCGCCGCAGUAA